AUGAACAUUGAACAAGUCAUAACUGAACGGUGUAUCGACCACCCAUCCUGUAUUACAAGAUGGAAACAUAUAUACAUCAUUUGUACAUGGCGAGCGUGGAGUGAAAACCAUCCAGAUACCAGUCUGCCAGCCAGUCCAGGUUCUGAGCGGGGCAAGCGGGUGUGCGAGCGCUCACUGGUUUUGCAUUCACUGCCAAUGGGUGGGUACAAACUUUUGGAUCAAGGUGUGCAAGACAUCAAUUAUCUAUGCAGACGUGAGCCACCUCCCACGGCAGUGUUCUGGUCCAAGAGCCAAGUGCGGUAUGAGCUUGAGGAGAGCUGCGAGGUGGGCAUGGUACACUGCUGA
rnacentral:rRNA from 1 species